AAUUUAAAAUGUCUCACCCAUCCCCCCAAACUAAGCUCUCCAACCCCAGUAACCCCAGAGUCUUAUUUGAUGUGGACAUCGGAGGGGAUUGAGUUUGUCGAAUUGUCUUAGAAUUGUUUGCAGAUAGUGUACCCAAAACUGCAGAAAAUUUUCAUGCAGAGUGUUUACAGGAGAAAAAGGCAUUGGACCCACAACUGGGAAACCUCUCCAUUUCAAAAGAUGCCCUUUCCAUCAAAUUAUUAAGGAAUUUGUGAUUCUGGGUGGAGACUUCUCAAAUCAAAAUGGGACAGGUGGAGAAAGUAUUUAUGGUGAAAAAUUUGACAGUGAAAAUUGCUAUUAUAAGCAUGAUCAGGAAGGUUUAUUGAGCAUGGCAAAUGCAGGCUGCAAUACAAAUGGUUCUCAAUUCUUUAUCACAACAGUCCCGACUCCUCACUUGGAUGGGAAACAUGUGGUAUUUGGCCAAGUAAUUAAAGGAAUGGGUAUGGCAAGGAUACUGGAAAAUGUACAAGUGAAAGGUGAAAAACCUGCCAAAUUGUGUGUUAUUGCAGAAUGCAGAGAAUUGAAGGAAGGGGAUAAUUGGGGCAUAUUCCCAAAAGAUGGCUCUGGUGACAGUCAUCCAGACUUCCCUGAGGAUGCAGAUAUAGAUUUAAAAGAUGUAAAUAAAAUUUUACUAAUAACAGAAGUUGUAAAAAAUAUUGGAAAUAUUUUUUUCAAAUCUCAGAACUGGGAGAUGGCCAUUAAAAAAUAUACAAAAGUUUUAAGAUAUGUGGAAGGUUCAAAGGCCAUUAUUGAGCAAGCAGAUAGAUCGAAGCUGCAACCUACAGUUUUAAGCUGCGUGCUGAAUAUUGGUGCUUGUAAACUGAAGAUGUCAAAUUGGCAGGGAGCAAUCGACAGUUGUUUGGAGGCUCUUGGAAUAGACCCAUCCAAUACCAAAGCAUUGUACCGUAGAGCUCAAGGACGGCAAGGAUUAAAAGAAUACGAUCAAGCAUUGGCUGAUCUUAAGAAAGCUCAGGAGAUAGCACCUGAAGAUAAAGCUAUCCAGGCAGAAUUGCUGAAAGUCGCACAAAAGAUAAAAGCACAAAAAGAUAAAGAGAAGGCAGCGUAUGCAAAAAUAUUUGCCUAGUAAGAAGUUCGCUUUUACUUAAAUAUGCAUUGAUUGUUAUAUAAAGGGAAUAAGAAAAUUUAAAGAUUUUUGUCCGUUAUAUAUAAUCCCUGAUGUGUUUCCUUUGAUACUUCAGUUUCCCAUUGUUUACAGUUUAGGAAUACUGAAAAGAGUUCACUCUUAAUAAAACAGUGUUACAAAAAAAAAAAAGGCAGAAAGGCUGACUAGAACUUGUAACACAUAAUAAACUUCUGUUUCCAUAAAUGUGGAAUUUUAGCAGUAGAUCUGAGACACUAUUGAAUAUAAUGCUUUGGUUUACAGAUAAUGAACCUGAGGCUGUUCUGUUUCAUUGUCGGGCAAUUCUAAUUAUUAGAAUUGUUAAAGCAUCAUGUAAUUCUCCUUAUUCUCCUUCCUUAAAACGUAUUGGUUUUAGUUUCUUCCACUGAAGAACACAGGACAAUUCUAUAUGUCUCCUCUGUGGCAGGUUCUCAAAGAUAUGAAAACAACCCUUAAGUGUUUCCAUAGUUUUUUUUCCCUAAGCUAAAAUAUUAAAUUACCACAAAAGUUA